GACGAACCGUACAAACGUUAUUCGGAAUUACUGGGCGUAAAGGGCGCGUAGGUGGCGACCCAAGUCGAUGGUGAAAGCUCGCCGCUCAACGGCGAGUCGGCCACCGAUACUGGGUUGCUGGAGCACUGUAGAGGCUCAUGGAUUCCGGGUGUAGCGGUGGAAUGCGUAGAGAUCCGGAAGAACACCGGUGGCGAAGGCGGUGAGCUGGGCGAGUUGCUGGACACUGAGGCGCGACACGUGGGGAGCAAACA
rnacentral:rRNA from 1 species